CUCAUAAAACCAAGUGCUUGUAAAUGAUCAUCUUAAAACUUUUAUAAAUAACUGAACGACGAUAGAGUGAUGCGCCGGCUGAAUGCGUCUGACGUCGUUUAUAUGCGUGUCCUGCGUCAUUACGAUGUUCAAGUUUAAAUUGUUUCACUUACCAAGUUAGAAGCACUCACUCGGGUUCAAUACGAAGACAUGGACGAUCACUACCCAAUUAAUACGAAUUUUUAACACCGGUUUCUUAGAACACGUUGAAAGGCGAAAAAACACACGAGACUUUCGAAAUACGAGCAAAGCUGUUUGCCCGAAUUUUUAUAUCUGCAGCGUACUAAAUCGUGACAAUGGACUAGAAGCUGCAGCGACACGCUGCACACCCAGGACGCACCACGCAAGUUCCAGCUGACGUCCUGGCGAAUCGAAGAAGUGGGGAGGAAAUGAAGCAGCCGAGCAUAGUGGACAGCUCUCAUGGAUUUAGAUCGGUCCUCGUCGUUCGACGGCCAUCACGUAUACCACUUGUUUCGAUAUUGACAAUUGGUUGAACAGUUUGUGAUAAUGACUUCGUUUUUUUAAAUAUAAUAUCUUGCAACUUCAUUAGAUUUUCUUUUGUCUUAGGAUGAUCAUAGAGAUUGGAACAUCGUGAAAUUCUAAUGGAAAAGAGAACGGGAUUAAAUUUUGGUAUUAUCUGCAGCCCUUUGUCUACUAGUGGCGCCUACGUGCGCCAAAAUUCAGCGCUUAAGGCUAAAGUAUUGAAACCAGAAGAGAAGACUAUACACAACGAAUAAACGAUAGCUUUUGUAUAUUCAAAUCACGGACGCGAAACUAGAUCACGUUAAGUCACCUAGAAAUGCGUCUCGUCGUCCCGACAACACACGUGUGCUCGGCUAGGAGUUCACGAGCAACUCCAUCGUCAACGACAAACUCGCUGUGGCCCUCCGAACACCACGGAUCAACCGGAGGAAGAGGGAAUCAGAGCACCACAGGAAGGGGGAAUCAGUGAGACAGAAAAGGAGGAGAAUAUGGAUUUUUGCAGAAGUUUGAGUGAGAGAAAAUAACUAGCAGUCGACCAACCACGCGACACUGAAUGAACUCGUCUCUGACCCCGACUCGUUCCCAAGCCACUACCACCUCAGU